rnacentral:SRP_RNA from 1 species
UUCGCGGAAGGGGCGGGCGGCGUUUUCGCCAACCCGGUCAGGACCGAAAGGUAGCAGCCGUAACGAAAUUCUCCGGGUCGUUCCUUCCACUUUCUU